CCUACGGGAGGCAGCAGUGAGGAAUAUUGGUCAAUGGCCGGAAGGCUGAACCAGCCAUGCCGCGUGAAGGUCAGUGCCCUAUGGGCGUUAAACUUCUUUUGUGCGGGAACAAUAAUGGUCACGUGUGGCCUGCCCAGAGUACCGUACGAAUAAGCAUCAGCUAACUCCGUCCCAGCAGCAGCGGCAAUACGGGGGAUGGAAGCGUUAUCCGGAUUUAUUGGGUUUAAAGGGUGCGUAGGCGGGGAGGUAAGUCAGCGGUGAAAUGCCCCCGCUCAACGGGGUGAAGUGCCAUUGAUACUGGCUUGCUGGAAUGCGGAUGCGGUGGGAGGAAUGUGUGGUGUAGCGGUGAAAUGCAUAGAUAUCACACAGAACACCGAUUGCGAAGGCAUCUCACGAAUCCGCGAUUGACGCUGAUGCACGAAAGCGUGGGUAUCAAACAGGAUUAGAUACCCUUGUAGUC
rnacentral:rRNA from 1 species